GGUGCUUCAGUUCAGUGUAGAAGAUUCUUUCCUGCGAGAUCUUGGACCGAAAGAGAAAUCCGUGAUACUGAUACAGUAGUGACAGGUAUAAAGAAGGGACCGACUAAACAUUUGCUUACGGUUACCUUCAUACAAGGAAAAGACAAGUGUGUAGAUGCCAGAAAUUUCAGAGCCAAAGAUGAGUGCAAUGAAUCGUUCCUUCCCCUAGAGACAAGGGCAACCUUUAUUGAGAAGUUUGAAGAGAAAGUGACAGAAUUGGCGAACAAUAGCAACAACACUAGCAGUGAAUCUGGGUCCUCGGCGGCCAGUGACACAGUGCAUGACUGCUACAAAUGGUUCCGAUGAACGCACUGACAGCUUGAAAGAGGAGAUUGACAUAUUGAAGGAAGAGAACAAGAAUAAAUAUGCCAUUGUGAAAAAGUUGCAAGAAGAAAAUCAGCAAUUAAAGGUAAUAAAAGUGUUGAUAUUGUAGUUUAUGAGAGUCUUACAUGCUGGCCUAGUAAAUCUAGCUAGUCUAAAUUGUGGAAAGAAUACAUAGU